rnacentral:lncRNA from 1 species
CCUAUGUAAUUCAAAAGUAACAAAAUGAUUUAAAAAUUCUGUUUUUUCAAUCCUUUAUUAUUAUUCAAGAGUUUGAGUGUCAAAGUCAGUCUACACUUCUGUAAAGAAAUAUAAAAAUCAGUGGUGUAUUUGGCUACAGGUAAUCUGUUCUUGGCUCCAACAUUACUAAACAGAUGACUGGAUGUGUGUGUGUGUGUGUGUGUGUGUGUGUGUGUGUGUGUGUGUCUAGAAGCUGAGGCUAACAGGAGAGGGUAAUUGCCCAUAAAAGUGAAAUAAAAAGCCAAAAUUCUUCUCUUAAGCUUAAGCUUUUUCCCUCCUUAGCAUUACUUCAUAAGAAAUGUAGCAGUGGAAACAUAAGGUUGGCAUGUUUAGAAAAUUCAAUCAUAAAUAAAAACAUUGUGUGAACUGGUUUUUAGUUUUGAAUUAACCUGGGCAAAUUCAGCUGGUUACUCCUUUUCCCUUUUUCCCAGUUUUCAAAGUUAAAAAAUUUAUGACUCUCAGGCAAAGAUAGUGUGAACUCAUGUCAAAGAUUUUAUUUAACUUAAUCCAUGAGGGAACCCAUAAAAUGUUAAAACUUGUAUAAGAAUUUGAGAAGCUACACACACACACAUACACACACAUGCACACACACACACUCUCACACAUUUCAUAAAAGAAUAUUAGGAUAAGAUUUCUCGAUACAAAACUGUUACCUUUGGGGUUAUCUCUCCGCCAGAAAGAACUUGUUUGCAUCCCUGCUAGACAAAAACCUACAAGUUAACCUUUGCCCGUAUGGAGUUGUAAAACAGACCAGUUGAUAGAAAGAGAAGCCUGCUUCCCGAAGCCCUCAGCAGAAGCCGAGCAGAUGUUGGCACCAUGCUUCUUGUACAGCCUGCAGAACUGUGAGCCAAUUAAACCUCUUUCCUUUAUAAAUUACCCAGCCUCAUAUAUUUACUUAUAGUGAUGCAAAAAUAGCCUAACUCAACCUUCAAAAUAAAUCAGUGUCUAACCAUUUCUCACUUCUUCUACUGCUACCACCUUUUCUAUCUCUAGGUGCAUUCCUGCAGAAGUGUAGUGCUUCAGGGAGAUAACUUUUCUAAAUAAAACAGGGCCUUAAUUUGUCCAAGGGUGAAUGAGCCGUUCUUCAAACCUGAAGAUACAAAACUAGCUCUCAAGAGAGCCCAUUCUACCAAAACAUUCAAAAAGUGAUGGUAUUAAUUCUCUGAUUUGUAACUGAAUGUAGCUAUUUCUAAUAUCCCC